UACGGAGGAUGCGAGCGUUAUCCGGAUUUAUUGGGUUUAAAGGGUGCGCAGGCGGCACGGCAAGCCGGCGGUCAAAUCGCGGGGCUCAACCCCGCCCAGCCGUCGGAACUGCCGGGCUAGAGUGGGCGAGAAGUGCGCGGAAUGCGUGGUGUAGCGGUGAAAUGCAUAGAUAUCACGCAGAACUCCGAUUGCGAAGGCAGCGCACCGGCGCCCUACUGACGGUCAGGCACGAAAGCGUGGGUAUCGAACAGG
rnacentral:rRNA from 1 species